rnacentral:lncRNA from 1 species
UACCGGUGCCCAACAAUUUCUGGCCUACUGUUCCAGCCUUCAGUUCUUCAUCCACCAACGCACAGCCGUGCUCCGCCAGCAUCACUCCAAACUUGACGACGAAGCUGCUGUCCAGACGUGUCAUGAGCCCGAUGCUCAGCAAUUCCAGGCGAGUUCUUAGUCCAGUGAGCAAUCCUCAGCAAAGUUCAAUCACCAACGCAGUGAGAUCAAAAUUUCGUGGCUGUCUGUUGCUGCUUCGAAUUUGCCAUUGAUAACUCAUCGCUAGCCGCUGUGAAAAGUUUCGAUCCAUUGCCAUCUGCAAGUCCCUGCACCGCGAGCUUUAAGCUGCUCCUCACCACACGCGCAAAGAGGUUAGUAAAAUCCAGGGAAUUCUCAGCUGAAUAAACCAAGAAUUCUUGCACAUACACGAACGGAAUCUCGGACAAGGCAAAAGCAUUUGGGGAACAUUCGCUACAGGACGUGGAGGAGGGGGGCCUCCUUCUCUUCAGUUUUCGGGGUCGGCAAAUUAUAAAUUUUAGAGCACAUGAGGAAUACACGUGAGAAAAAAUAGAGAGGGAGUUCGGCCAUUAGAGGAAUUAUUUGCGUUACAAUUCGCGUGGCUGGUCUGGGUCGACUUCAUCGGAAGAUUCACGAUUGGCGCGUAAUCACUUCUUAAGAGACGAUCCAGAGAGGAAAAGAGAGCAACCAAAAGCAUAGAAAAAAAGAGAAGCCUUUGAAGCGGUGCUCUUUGU